UGGCCCAUGGUGUAAUGGUAACACACUGGUUUUUGGUACCAAUAUUCAAGGUUCGAGUCCUUGUGGGCCAA
rnacentral:tRNA from 2 species